AUUGAACGCUAGCGGGAUGCUUUACACAUGCAAGUCGAACGGAGUGGCGAACGGGUGAGUAUUGUAUAGGAACGUGCACAGUAGCGGGGGAUAACUACGAGAAAGCGUAACUAAUACCGCAUACUCUUGGCGCGGCCGAUAUCGGAUUAGCUAGUUGGUGGGGUAACGGCUCACCAGGGCGACGAUCAGUAGCCGGUUUGAGAGGACGACCAGCCACACUGGGACUGAGACACGGCCCAGACUCCUACGGGAGGCAGCAGUGGGGAAUUUUGGACAAUGGGCGAAACCCUGAUCCAGCCAUCCCGCGUGUGCGAUGAAGGCCUUCGGGUUGUAAAGCACUUUUGGCAGGAAAGCGGUACCUGCAGAAGAAGCACCGGCUAACUACGUGCCAGCAGCCGCGGUAAUUC
rnacentral:rRNA from 1 species